rnacentral:rRNA from 1 species
GACGAACGCUGGCGGCGUGCCUAAUACAUGCAAGUCGAGCGGACGUUUUAUUGGUGCUUGCACCGAUUUAACGUUAGCGGCGGACGGGUGAGUAACACGUGGGCAACCUGCCCUGUAGAUUGGGAUAACUCCGGGAAACCGGGGGCUAAUACCAAAUAAUACUUUUUAACUCAUGAUAGAAAGUUGAAAGAUGGUUCUGCUAUCACUACAGGAUGGGCCCGCGGCGCAUUAGCUAGUUGGUGAGGUAAUGGCUCACCAAGGCGACGAUGCGUAGCCGACCUGAGAGGGUGAUCGGCCACACUGGGACUGAGACACGGCCCAGACUCCUACGGGAGGCAGCAGUAGGGAAUCUUCCACAAUGGGCGAAAGCCUGAUGGAGCAACGCCGCGUGAGUGAAGAAGGAUUUCGGUUCGUAAAACUCUGUUGUAAGGGAAGAACAAGUAGCGUAGUAACUGGCGCUACCUUGACGGUACCUUAUUAGAAAGCCACGGCUAACUACGUGCCAGCAGCCGCAGUAACAC